rnacentral:tRNA from 1 species
AAAGGGAGACCUAAUUCGGGUAUAAGACGAAAAAAUAGUAGUCGAAACCAAGAAUCAAUCCCAAAAGGUCGGAACGAGGUAUGUGGCUUUCAAACUAGGUUCUGGGUUCAUAAAAGACCUGAAUCAGGAACAAGGGCUAUUAGCUCAGGUGGUUAGAGCGCACCCCUGAUAAGGGUGAGGUCCCUGGUUCGAGUCCAGGAUGGCCCACCUGCACAGGUGGCAAAAACAAAGAAAAGAAGCGAGGAAUCAGCACCUUAACUUACUUAUAUAGUAAGAGAGAAUGCUGGCUCUGAGUACAGAGUCCAGAGGAACCUUGAAAACUGCAUAGAGCUAGGUGAAAAAGCCAAAAAAGAAGACCGCAAG